GGGCAGCAGUGGGGAAUCUUGGACAAUGGGCGCAAGCCUGAUCCAGCCAUGCCGCGUGAGUGAUGAAGGCCUUAGGGUCGUAAAGCUCUUUCGCCAGGGAUGAUAAUGACAGUACCUGGUAAAGAAACCCCGGCUAACUCCGUGCCAGCAGCCGCGGUAAUACGGAGGGGGUUAGGGUUGUUCGGAAUUACUGGGCGUAAAGCGCGCGUAGGCGGGCUAUUAAGUUAGGGGUGAAAUCCCGGGGCUCAACCCCGGAACUGCCUCUAAUACUGGUAGCCUAGAGUUCGAGAGAGGUGAGUGGAAUUCCGAGUGUAGAGGUGGAAUUCGUAGAUAUUCGGAGGAACACCAGUGGCGAAGGCGGCUCACUGGCUCGAUACUGACGCUGAGGUGCGAAAGUGUGGGGAGCAAACAGGAUUAGAUACCCUGGUAGUCCACACCGUAAACGAUGAAUGCCAGUCGUCGGGUAGCAUGCUAUUCGGUGACACACCUAACGGAUUAAGCAUUCCGCCUGGGGAGUACGGUCGCAAGAUUAAAACUCAAAGGAAUUGACGG
rnacentral:rRNA from 1 species